CAUGAACGUUGGCGGCGUGGAUUAGGCAUGCAAGUCGCGCGAUUUCCUUCGGGGAAGAGCGGCGGAAGGGAGAGUAACGCGUAGAUACCUACCCUCGGGACUGGAAUAGCGACGGGAAACUGUCGGUAAUGCCAGAUAACGUCCCUGGACCAAAGGUGUGAAUCCGCCUGAGGAGGGGUCUGCGUCCUAUUAGCUAGUUGGCGGGGUAACGGCCCACCAAGGCGAAGAUGGGUACCGGGCGUGAGAGCGUGACCCGGCUCACUGGGACUGAGACACUGCCCAGACACCUACGGGUGGCUGCGGUCGAGAAUCUUCGGCAAUGAGCGCAAGCUUGACCGAGCGACGCCGCGUGCGGGAUGAAGGCUUUCGGGUUGUAAACCGCUGUCAGUGGGGAGGAAAUUCUUGGGGGUACUCCCCCUUGAUUGACCGAUCCGCAGAGGAAGGACGGGCUAAGUUCGUGCCAGCAGCCGCCGUAACAC
rnacentral:rRNA from 1 species